AUGGCGCAAUGGUGGUCGAGCAAUAUGGAGGGAUGUAGACAUUGCACAUUGCUGGUAGUGUCUGCAGCGCUAGGUUCCUUAUUUACUCAAACUGCGGCAGUUGCUGAGGUUGGACAAAGCCAUCGGCCUGUGGGUUUUGCUCAGAUGGCUGGAAGGAGCCCUGGGCUGAUGGAUAUUGUUGCUGAGGUUGGACAAAGCCCUGGGCCUGUGGGUUUUGCUGAGAUGGCUGGAAGAAGCCCUGGCCUGAUGGAUAUUGUUGCUGAGGCUGCUGGUAGGAGACCUGGCUCGACGGUUGUUGUUGUUGUUGUUGUUGUUGUUGUUGUUGUUGUUGAUGACGAUGAUGCAAAAUAA
rnacentral:rRNA from 1 species